UACGUAGGGUGCGAGCGUUGUCCGGAAUUAUUGGGCGUAAAGAGCUCGUAGGCGGCUUGGUAAGUCGGAUGUGAAACCUCCAGGCUCAACCUGGAGUCGCCAUCCGAUACUGCCAUGGCUAGAGUCCGGUAGGGGCCCACGGAAUUCCUGGUGUAGCGGUGAAAUGCGCAGAUAUCAGGAGGAACACCGAUGGCGAAGGCAGUGGGCUGGGCCGGCACUGACGCUGAGGAGCGAAAGCGUGGGGAGCGAACAGG
rnacentral:rRNA from 1 species